rnacentral:lncRNA from 1 species
CGCCCUUCGGCGCGGGGGGGUCGGGGCCGGAGGGCCUCGAGCAAAAGCACGCGCACAGGUAGCGCGGGAGCGUGCUUUGCGGGAGCCGAAGGGACGCCCCGGGGCAUCUGCGAGCGUGGGGCUGUCCGGUGACUCUCUUUUGAACCUCGUUCUGCGCGCCCUGCGCUCGCUUUCCCCCUCCAACCUGUCCCGGCUGUCCGGGGAUGGGCUGCCAGAGCGUUUCUCCGUGCCGCGUAGCGCCGCGACCGUCCCGCUGCCGGCCGCGCUCCGGGCUCUGCUGCUGCUGCUGGCUGCGCUCGGUGCGCGCUCCCUGGGUGUCACCUCCGAGCGAUCCCGGACCGAGAGAAAGCUCCUACGAGAGCAAAGUUGGGCGCUUCCCUCAGAGCGUCGCGAACCUCAGCGCAAGCCGAGGUGCUCCCCGAGCAGGGUAUUCCCUCCUGCCGAGCGGCCAGCGCUAUGGAAAGAACCGAGGGGAAGCGGGAGGAAUCUCCGCGCGCUUCCCCGAAGCCACACGGGCGCAUCCCGGUGGCAGCGCGGGGCUGAGCUCCUCAGCCCGGUGUGUUUGGAAGCGUAACGCGAUACAUCGCCUCCCUUGAUCUCAUUCUGCCUUCCUCCUUAGCCGUACCUCACUGUACUUAAGAGGACGGUUUUGCUACCAGCCCUCUCCCCCCAUCCCCACGUUUUCAUCUCUUCCUCCUGCUUGCUCUCCUCUCGACAGCUCCAUACCUUUCCAUUAUUUCCUCACACGCAUCACACCACUCGAUCUCUGGCCAUUCCUGGCACCGCUCUCUGCCUUUGGCCACCACCCAGGUGUCCACACAGAGUUGGCAUCCAUCCCAUCCCGUACUACUGCCAUGUCCCGGCCCCGGGUGGCCUCUGUCAUCCCACUGCCACCUCGGCCUGCCCUGACUUUCCACCAGCCAUUGCUCAUCUCUGGAGAUGGAGUCACCUCCAACCUGUCUGGUACCAGGACCUGCAUACCUGGCAUCGUGGUCACGCAUGCUCACACUAGAUUCCAUCACAUACGAAGUAUAAGCAGUACCUGUUGGACUUGGCUAGGGUUUUUGCUGUGGACUUCCCCAUCACCAGUUUGUGCUUCUCUCUUGCCAUGGGCAUGGCCAAAGACUCCACUGCUCACCUGUGCUGCAUACUGUUUAACGCUCUUUGCCCUGGCACAUCCUUUAGCCGCAUAACGACCCUGAUAUGCUUUGUUGUCGCCAGUAUUUCCACCCCAGCGGAUCACCUUUCAGCUUGGCAUUAUGGGGAGCCCUCCAAGAGAGGUGUGCGAAGGGACAGGCACUGCACAGCUGCACUGGUGCAUCUGUCAGCCAACCAGCCGGUCAACCAUUCAGGCACCUCAAUGCUGCACUCGGGAGUUCCUGUCCUCCAAAAUAUACCUCUUCUUUCCCAAAAUUCUGAUACCUCGGCCUGACAAGCACUUCAUAUAUGAAACCUUAACGCCACAGCCUGCUGUUAGGAAUGUGCACGCUGCACCCAGUGCUGGAGCGAAACCAGAAGGGUAGAGCUCAGGUGUUUUGGAACCAUCCCACAGGCAGCCCCUGGCGGCCUUCCAGCAUGCUCUUCCUUUAAGCGUGCUCACUGUGCCUCUGGAGAAGACUGCUGAUCCAUCAGUUAAUCGUAUUGAAGCUGCAAUCAGAUGAGGAACUUCAGCAUGCCACGAGGUGAGAAGAAGCUAACAAGGAAUGAUUUUAGCUGCAGCACCGAUGGAGCAGGCCUCUUAAUGCUGAACUGAGUGUGUGCAAGGACUCUAUCAUAUUAGAUAUGCAUCAACUAGAUGCAUUUCAUAGAUAAAACUGCACAUACUGCAUCAGACCAAAGCCCACCAGCCCUACGUCCUACCAGUGAAAAUGACCAGUAAAUAGAGGCUUAUGGGAGAGUAUAAUAGCAGGACAAACAUAAUGCGAUUAUUUUCCUUCAGUAGAUCCCUGUUGUACAGUAAAUAGGUAUACAGAUGUUAUACAGAGAAGUUAGGCUGGUAAGAUUACCACAUUGGAAAAGAUAAUCAGAUAUAAAUGAAAGGUGUUCACCAGUGUUGUAGGCUCGCAAAAACUCCACAAGGAGAGAUCUCCAGGAAGAGAUCCUUCCUCAGUGGCAGUCAGCCCUUAAAUGGGGUCUAGGAGAGGUGCAGCCUGGCUCCACCCCUUCCGGUCACACAGCUGAAUUGCCUUCACCUGUGCUCCCAGGGCUGACUCAGUGCUUGCCUCAGGUGGUCAAUCAGAGGUUCAGGUCGUAAUUCAACAGUUCCCAUACACCUGUUCUCCCAGAUCCUAUGGUUCAGAGAUUGCCUGCAUUGAAGCCCUUUCCCUUUAAUGCUUUUGCCAAGCAUUUUUUGGUCUUUACAACGCUGUGCAAUCAAACUACGGAAGACCUUACAGUUUGAAUAAUGCAGCAUCUCUGUCUACUUUAUACCCAUUGUUCGCUAUUCUUCUUUUUCAUGUCCUCUAGUUUUUGUAUCAGAAAUCAGGUGCCAUAUCUGAGUAUCCGUCCUUUGCCCCACUACUCAUUGAAAGGACGUGGCUUUCGUAAGGGAGACCUUCUGCUGCAUCUCUUAUAUUUGAGCCUUCUUGCUCUGCCCGAAAGAUUUUGCCCUGGACUGCCUGAGAAGAGUCAAUUCUGUUACUUAGUUCAACUUUUUCUUUCUAGCUACUUCUUCAUUUCACAUCCUGGGAGAAGAUAAUCUUUCUAACCAGGCAGAACCAGAGCAGGUAUCAUGGCAAAAGAGAACAGGAGGGAAAAAGAAAACUAAUUUCAGAAAGCAGGCCAGAAGUAUGAAAAGCUUAGCACAAGCUCCCUCUUAGGGGCUUGCCCACACUAGAAGGUGCCUGCCUGACCAGCUGGGGAAACUCUUCUGUGGCACCUGUAAGAUACAGGGAGAAUGGAG